rnacentral:misc_RNA from 1 species
CAGUUCAGUUUCGGUUUGGUUUCCGUUCGGUUCCGUUUUCUGCCAACACUUCUCGUUCGAUCCGUCUUCGAGUUCCUUCAAAUCCCUAUUUUUUUGGUGCACAGUUCCUUCCAUAAAAGAUAUUUCAAACAUAAUAGAUUCGAUCCGAUCUGAGAGCUAUUGGGUCAGUGGGUGAUCCUGCAGCUGGUUUCCUCUUCCACUGUGGACACGACUUUUUAACACCGACUACGACGAUGAUGAACCAACGCCUGGACCUCGGCUGGAACUCGUCCGUCUGCUGCUAAACGAUGGAUCUGGCAGACCAAAUCGAUGACUAUAUCUGUUCGUUCGAGGGACUUGGUGACUUAACAAUGGACUCCCUAGCCAUCUUCAUCUUUCUGUGGGCCGUGCUGGCCCUCUUCUCCGUCUGGCUGUGCAAGCUGCUCUACCGCAAGUAUCUCAACAAGGAGAAGACGCCCAGUGCCGCCAACAGUCGCCAGAGCAGCGUGGCCCCCGGGGCGGCCGCUUUGGCCCUCGGCGGCUCCUCCAAGCCGGAGAAGCGACUCUCCGAGCCCAGGGACAUGCUGGCCACCAAGAGCAAAGUCGAGGAUCUCUCCAAGCCUCUGACUGGCGCCUCGGCUGGCCGUGGUCGCUCUUCGGCCUCGCCCCUAAGCGGUGGUGCCGCUGGCGCCGCCGGACCGCGUCGCCGCGUGGUACGCCAGAGCUCCACGGGGCCGGAGAAUCGCAAGAAGCGCUAUGUUCCACCGCCCUCCAAUGUGGUGGGACCCGAAACGAGCUCUGUCACGUGGACCAGCCAAGUGUUCCGCUGGCUGUACAGCGAUCUAGUCAUUGUCAACGAGCUGCUCAUGUCCUGGGUGAUAGCCAUCAACGACUCGCUCCGCAAGUCUGUGGAGGAGCAUGGAGUGGCCGUGGAAGUGGUCCGAGUGCUGCCCGAUAGCCCUGCUCCGGGCCUGAACAACAUCUUCUGCAACUGCGAUGAGAACAAUCCUGCGGAUAUGCUCAUCACGUUCGACUGCGACGCCAUGCCGGUGUUGCAGGUGAAGACCUUCCGCCAGAAGUCGGGCAAGGUGGAGACCUCCCACUACAAGGUGACCGUGUCGCGAUUCCGCGCCCGCAUGGCCAUCCCCAUGAACUACAACAGUCUCAAGGGCGAGAUGCGUGUCGAGGGCUAUCCUGAUGUGCGCAUUGCGAUGAACAGCGUGGGGGCCAUCAAGCCCAUGGACCAGGACGAACAGCAGCUCCAGACGGUCAUCAGCGACAUCCUGACGACGGCCCUGCGCGACACCGUCUACCCCGUGGACUUCUCCAUCUACUCCACCUGCCCGCGGGCCGAGGUGGAGCCCCUGGAUCUGCCCGUAAUCUAUCCCGUUCACUAUGACUCCCUGGCGCACAACAUGGAGCACCAUCUGGGUGGCGUGGGCCUGCGGGACUCGCAGCACAUGGUAUCCGGCAGGCGGCUGCUGGUGAAGAUCGUCAAGGGCGAGGGCCUGAGGGACGCCCACGACCCCUAUGUGGUCAUCGAGAUGGACGAGCCGGCCCAGAAGAACCAGACGGGCACCCAGCGCGGCAGCAGACCCUACUGGGAUGAGCACUUCCUCUUUGAACUCUCCCCGCAGUCUGCAGAGAUACUCUUCGAGGUGUACGACCAUCCAGUGAUCGCCUCGGAUCCGCCCAAGUUCCUUGGACUCGGCCUGGUCGGCAUCGACGAGCUGGCCGUGGGUCCGGCCUCCACCCAGCUGCUGCAGCUCCAGCCACGUCCCUACGAAACCCAGCCCGUGGCCGGGGCCAUCACCGUGGACUUCGUGUUCAUCGAGGGAGCCGAGAUCCCGGCGGGCGCCCGUCCACAACGCCUCAAGGAGGCCCUGCGCCUCAGCACGCCGGCCAUCAAUGAACACAUCCGCAACGGAGCGGACCUGGCCGACGCCGCGGUCCGCGCUCUGCAGGACGGCGCGCUCUCCGCCACCGGAAACGGGGGCCAGCCCAGCAAGAGCACCCUCAUCAUCCACAGCGUCCAGCGGAACUCGGGCAAUCCGAAUGCAUUUAAGGUCGAGUUGAACAAGGAUGGCCGCAUCGAGGUCUUUGAAUCGCCCACAGAGCUGGACCAGGCCGUGGCCCAGGCCUUCGAGCGGGCCGCCAGCGAGGCAGCGGCCUCCAAGGCCGAGCAGCUCCAGCUGGAGCUCGAGCUGGACCCCGGCACGGAGGUCCAGCCGCUGGCCAGCGGCGAGCCGCACAACGAAACAGGUAACGGUAGUGGUACCGGCAACGAGGACAGUACCGCGGAGUUCGGGCAGCCCAACGCAGCCUCCUCGCCCAACGGCAGCGGCUACCACAACAACUACAACCUCAACGGGAGCAGUGGGCUAGCCGGAAACGGCAGUGGCAAUGGCAACGGCAACGGCAACGGCAGCUCCAACAUCAACGGCGGGGGCUACAGCAUGAACAGCCUGCCGCGGAACGGGGCCCAUCUGGGGCAUCUGCAAGCGGGUGAGGGCAUGGACGUGCUGGACGAUCGUGGGCGCAGCAAAAAACGUAAUUUCUUUGGCACCCUGAAGAAGCGGCUCAGCCGCUCCAAGACACGCACCCUCUCGGCAGAUCAGCCCAAUAGCAAUCACAAAUCACUAUCAGCCACCAACUCGAACUACGCCAAUACUACAACAACAUCGACAGGACUACCCCGAACCGCCACCGGAACCCUCAAUGGACCCCGCAUGGGCAUUGGCUCCGCCAUCACCGACCAUUCACGACGCUCUUCAAUUUCAGAAUCCUCGGCCAUCUCAGGUUUCUCCUCGGCCAGCAAUAAGACCUACGUACACGAGGCCUCCACCUUGGUCCUGGAGACCAUCGAGAACGGCGUGAAGCGCCACUUUAUUGUGCCUUUGGCCAUUGCCCAGAGACCGCGCUGGCGCCGCAAGGGCACCAAGCUGCACAUCUACAACGAUCACACCUUCAUAGCCAAGCAUUUGAGCGGAAGCGGCUUGCAGUGCUCGAUCUGCAUGAAGUCCAUACCUCGGAGGCCGGGCAAGCAGGGAUACGAGUGCCGCGACUGCCAGCUGAUCUGUCACAAGCAGUGUCACAUACGGGCGCCCCAGGCCUGUCCCAAUCCCACGGUGCUCUCCAUGGAACUAAACUCCUAUCCGGUACUCACAGAGAGAGAUCUGAACCUAGUUAUCUAAAGCAUUAUUUAUUUGUCUACCAAAACUAUCUAAAUACUCGUAAUUCUUCUUUUGUAAAAUCCGCCAAAUGCAGUUGAAUAUUUACCACGAGCAAUGGCAAUUUUUGAUUUACUUAAACCGUGGAAUUGGCCUCGGCAGAGCGUUAAAAGCUCUGUUUAAAUUUUGCUUGAUUUAUGUACUAUUUUGGUUCGGCUUCUGCUGACUGCUAACCAUCCAGAACGAUCAUCAGAUCAUCCCAUAUCCGAUAGUCAUUCAUACAUCAAGCUUCGCCACGCUAUAAAAUUCAAUUAAGUUCCUUCUGUUGUCUUCUGUUUCGACACUAAUCCGAGCUCUUCUCUCAUCGCACCACUCGACCGCCACACAACCACCUCUUCGCACCACCACCACACGGACACAGGAUGGCCAGUGAGCAGUAGGCUUAAGUGCAGCAAAAUCAACUUAAAACUUAACAAUAUUCAAACUAGUUUGACGGCGGCAGCGGCCGACAUUUAAGAAAACAAAAAAUGCUCCUUCUUCUGAAAACUCCUCCAUCCGUCCUUCGAAACAGCCUCAGUUCUAGAUUCGUUCGGCUUUAGGAGAGAGUUCGAGAGUUAUCCACUCCUUAGGCGGAACCAAACUUAACUCGGCUGCGGCGGAUAGGAGUAUACGGAAACUGUAAAGAUGCCCCCAAUCCAUCGUCCAUCCCAGCUCCGACGCCGGGGACACUUAAUCGAAUUAUUAUGCUUAGAAGGAGGAACACCGGGACACUUCGGCUAUCGAAAUCUUUGAUACAUUAUGUUAUUUAUUUAUACACACACACAUACACCCACGUGCAAUAAGUUCUUUGGUUUCGUUUUUAACCUUUCUCUGUGUCAACAAGUAGACCCCUUUGAUAUUUUGUAUUUUCUACAAACACGAAUAAUAAUUGUACAAAAUAAGA